rnacentral:lncRNA from 1 species
AAUUAGAUCAAUUAAGAAUCAGAUUCGAAUCCAAUUCGAAUCAAAUUCGAAUCCAAUUCGAAUCCAAUUCGAAUCAAAUUCGAAUCCAAUUCGAAUUAGGAGCUAAGGUUUGCAACACCUGCUAGGAUAUUUAUCUUGCAAACAUGAUCUAAUCCAAUUAGACCCUUGAUCAAUUUUCUUGUGUGUGACCCAUUGGGUUCCAUACUUACCCAGCAGUAGGUGUGGAUUCGAGUUGACCUAUCCUGAUUAAAAUUCUUCUAAUGGAUUUAGGUCCAAACUGCGCGAACCCGAACUUAACAAUUAGAAUCCUUUCUAAUUGGCGAUCGAAUUAAACUCUUUAAUUUGAUCAAACCUACAAGACAAGAUUGACGUCUAGCAACGUGUCAUGUCUAUCCAGAAAAUAUGAAAUUUGGUAGAAAUACCAAAAAUACCCUUCAGUGGCAAGUUACCGUGCAAUACAAUCCUUCAAUCAAACUGCAUCCCGAAUAUGUAUAUGAGUAUGAAUGUAUGUCAAACUCAAUUUUAUAUUCAUAUUUUUCUUAAUCUUCUAAUGAUAAUUCGAAUCAUGAAAUAUUAGAAACUCCUUCUAAUUUUCAUUCUGCUUUAAUCAAAGGCUUCCUGAAUUAUCAUAUGAUUAGAAUAAAUGGGAUGCGAUCUUCUCUUACUAGAAGUGAUUGAUUUCUUGUUGACCGACUCAUAAUCUGUAUACACAAUCCACCAUAUCCAGAAGACCUCGUACACAACUUAUUGUU